CCGGGACCUGGGUGUCACCUGAUGCCUGCUCUGCUCGUGGCAUGUACCCCAGGAUCUCAGGGGUGCUUGUCAACGGAUUCUUACUCAUGACUCUACGUUGGAGGUCUGCAGCCAGGGCGGCCAGGGAAGCCAUUUGGAGCACAAAGGAGGACACAGCAAGAAGACUGCCAUCUAUGAAUCAAGACAUGGGCCCUCAGCAGACACUGAAUCCACUGGCACCUUGAUCUUGGACUUCCCAGCCUCCAGAACCAUGAAAAAUAAAUUUCUGUUGUUUAUAAGCCA